GAUGAACGCUGGCGGUAUGCUUAACACAUGCAAGUCGAACGGACUCUUCGGAGUUAGUGGCGGACGGGUGAGUAACGCGUGAGAAUCUGGCUUUGGGUUCGGGACAACCACUGGAAACGGUGGCUAAUACCGGAUGUGCCGAGAGGUAAAAGAGAAAUUGCCUGAAGAUGAGCUCGCGUCUGAUUAGCUAGUUGGUGAGGUAAAGGCUCACCAAGGCAGCGAUCAGUAGCUGGUCUGAGAGGAUGACCAGCCACACUGGGACUGAGACACGGCCCAGACUCCUACGGGAGGCAGCAGUGGGGAAUUUUCCGCAAUGGGCGAAAGCCUGACGGAGCGAUACCGCGUGAGGGAAGAAGGCUCUUGGGUUGUAAACCUCUUUUCUUAGGGAAGAACAAAAUGACGGUACCUAAGGAAUCAGCAUCGGCUAACUCCGUG
rnacentral:rRNA from 1 species